rnacentral:rRNA from 1 species
AGAGUUUGAUCCUGGCUCAGAAUCAACGCUGGCGGCGCGCUUAACACAUGCAAGUCGCACGAGAAAGGGAGCAAUCCUAAGUAAAGUGGCGUACGGGUGAGUAACACGUGGAUCAUCUACCUUUUAGUGGGGAAUACCUCCUGGAAACGGGAGACAAUACCGCAUAAGCUCGAGAGAGGAAAGCCGAAAGGCGCUGAAAGAGGAGUCCGCGGCUGAUUAGCUAGUUGGCGGGGUAAUGGCCCACCAAGGCGAAGAUCGGUAGCCGGCCUGAGAGGGCACACGGCCACACUGGCACUGAAACACGGGCCAGACUCCUACGGGAGGCAGCAGUGGGGAAUCUUGCACAAUGGAGGAAACUCUGAUGCAGCGACGCCGCGUGAGCGAUGAAGCCCUUCGGGGUGUAAAGCUCUUUCGACGGGAACGAUAAUGACGGUACCCGAAGAAGAAGCUGCGGCUAACUACGUGCCAGCAGCCGCGGUAAUACGUAGGCAGCGAGCGUUGUUCGGAAUUACUGGGCGUAAAGAGUGUGU